GUGAGGAGGAGAAUGAUGACCAUGAUAAUCAUCAUUCACUUGUUUACCCACAGAAUUUAUUAAUUCAGUGGGUAAACAAGAAUGGUGUUACACACAAUGCUGUUGAUGAAUUAUUAAAAAUUUUGAGGCAAAUGGGAAUUGACUACUUACCAAAAACAGCUCGGACACUAAUCAGUUCUGAAAGGUACAUAGAAACUCAGCAAAAAUCUGGAAUGAAAUAUGUCUACUUUGGGUUAAAAGAGGAACUGUUAAAAAACAUAAGUAGAUAUCCAAAAGCAACUAUAAAAGGACUGAGACAAUUAUUAUUGUCAUGUAACAUUGAUGGCCUUCCUAUAUUUAGAAGCAAAAAUGAUGCUUUGUGGCCAGUUCUCUGUGCAGUAAUGAAUAUUAAACCUUUGAAAGUCUUUCCAGUUGUCCUCAUGUAUGGACGUUCUAAGCCAAGUGAUUUAAAUUUCUUAUAUGAUUUUAUAUCUGAUAUGGAUGACCUUUUGUUGCAUGGGAUUCAGUAUGGUAACAGAACUAUCAACAUAAAAUUACAAUGUGUAAUUUGUGAUGCACCUGCUAAGGCUAUGGUGAAGUCCAUAAAACUGUUUUCAGGUUAUUAUGGCUGUGACAAAUGUGAACAGAAAGGUACUUGGAUGGGGAAAAUGACAUAUCCAGAAGUAACAAAUUUAACCAUUAGAACAGACACACGCUUCCGUAAUCAAUCUAACUCGCAACAUCAUCAUGGUAAAUCACCAUUCUGUGACUUGAACAUAGACUUAAUUGCAGCGUUUCCCAUUGACUAUAUGCACCAGGUGUGCCUUGGUGUUAUGAAGCGACUUCUUGUCACCUGGAUACGGAAAAACACAUUUAAAUUAUGUAGCCGCCAGAUUUCUGAAAUUAGUGCUAGAUUGGUGAGCAUAAAAGAUUUUGUGCCCAAUAUUUUUGCACGUAAACCACGAGGUUUGGAAGAAAUUGACAGAUGGAAGGCAACUGAAUACAGACAGUUUCUUCUCUACACAGGAAAGCUUGUAUUGAAAGGUAUUCUACCCCAAGAGAUGUAUGAUCAUUUCCUUACUCUCAGUGUUGGUAUAAGUUUUCUUGUUUCGCCCACAUGUAUGUCCUUAAAAUACGGCAAAUAUGCUCAUGACCUUUUGCUGAAUUUUGUAUCAAGGUGUGGUGAUCUGUAUGGGAAAGAUUUUCUAGUCUACAAUGUUCACAGUUUGAUUCACCUAACAGCAGAUGCUGAGGAACAUGGUACUCUUGACAGUUGUUCAGCUUUUCCAUUUGAAAAUUAUUUGCAUCAGCUGAAAAAGAUGGUCAGAUCAAGUAAAAAUCCAAUUGUCCAAAUUACAAAAAGAAUAAAGGAGGCUGAAAAUACCAUGAUUUAUAAAACAUCUCCAGAUAAUAAAAUUUCUCAUAAAUUUCCUAACAAUGUAUAUUCGUUACCUGGAUAUAAUUGCUGUGAAGUGUUAAGGACUGUACACAGCCGAAGAAGUGAAGAAAAUUACUUCAUUGUUAGGGUAUAUCCUUUUCAAAGCCCAAUAUUUACUAGUCCUUGUGAUUCAAGAAUAUUUGGGGCCUUCAAUGUUAAUCCACGUAAGGACUUUUUAAAAAAAGUAUCUAGCAUUAACACAUCAACAAGAGGAAUGUUAAUCAAGAAAACAGAAAGUACUUAUAUCUUCUUGUCAAUACUACAUGAUUUAUGACUAAUGGCUGAAUCUGAAAAUAAAUACAUCGUUGUGGAAGAUGAAGAAGGAGAAUUGUCAAUCAUCCAUAUCAAAUGGAUGUUUAGUGCAUCUGAUGGAUCAAACGUGGGCUAUUGGCCACGUGAAAACCAAUCAUCGAAAGCCAAAAGAGGAGAAAUACCAGACCUAUCAAAAUGGAGACGUUUCAACAUCAGCAAGAUUUAUUCCAUUGAUAGUACUUGGGAACUUGCCCUAAAACACCUUAAAAAGGCAGAAGAAACGUCAAAUAUGGAAAGUGACACAGACACAAGUUAUCACCAUAGGGCAGCAAAAUACAGAAGAAUACCAAAUGAUGUGGAUGGAGGUAUGUAGGAAUGAAUGUUUAGAGUUAUUCAAAAUAAUUGUUAAAAAAAUGAAACAUGAUUGGCUUAAUGGAACAAAUAAUCUUAUUUACUAGGUAAUAUAUUUUGCUAGGUAAUAUAUUAAAAUAUAUAUAUAGAUAUAUGUUAAUAGCUUUUCUGAAUGCAUUAAACGUUUUUGUUUCAGACAGUGAAGAUUCACCACCAAGAAAAGUAACUGUUUCCAUGCCCCGAAAGACUGCCGAGUGUAAGCUGACUCUAGAUGAACAU
rnacentral:misc_RNA from 1 species